GGAAGAAACUGGGCACUAAUUUUGGGAAUAGGAAAGCAACUGUUGACCUUGACAAGUUUUGAUGGAAGGGUCAUGGGUGGGACUUCAGAAACUGGGAAGCAGGGAAGCAGAAAUAUUGUGCAUAUGGACAACUUCGUUGGAAGUUUUGCUGUGGGGUCGAGCAAUGGCAUGUCCUCUGAGGGCAGAGGGAGCUGGGAGGGAGAAUAUGGGGUUUCACAAGAUGGGAGAUAUUAAUUAUAAUUACAAUUAUAUGUGAAAAGAAUGAUUCCUAGUAGGUGGCACCAGUGGUGCAGGAGAGUGAAAAGACGAUGCCCGAAGGAGGCAGAGGGCAUGAACUUGGGGAAUGCACCUGCGGCAGGAAGGGAAACAUUUCCUCCACUGGGGCCGAAGGAAAGGAGAAGAUGGAUGCCCGUGCUUCUGAUGUGGCACCUGGUAGGAUGAAUUAAGGACCAUGGCCGGCACCUGGUAGGAUGAAUUAAGGACCAUGGCCGGCACCUGGUAGGAUGAAUUAAGGACCAUGGCUGUUAUCUGAGAGAGGAGGGGAGAAGGGAACCUGGAACACCUCAGCAAAGAGGACAAGACACUCCAAGGUCCCCUCUACACACCUGAAGAGGAAGCCGUACAAGAGAUCCAAGAGUCAUGCUGGGACUGUGUAGAGAUUUUGGUAUUUCAGAAUUGCGGAUAAUGGAAUGCGGAUGUGAAUAUCUCUAAAGAAAGAAAGACUCAUAGAAGAGAGAAGUGAGCCAUGGAAGUGUAGAAAAGGGAGAAGCGUGGAGAACAUGUGAGCAGUGACCAGUCAAGCAUACCCAGCAAGAGACAGGAUUUACUAUAUUCUGAUUCCAUUGUCAAGGCCAGCAUUGUAAAAAGAAAGAAGUGCUGAGCUCUCUCAACUGAGAUCACUAAACAGUUGGCUCAUUCGAACAGUAUUUUUCUACUCUUGUACUCCCCAAGCCACUGGACAAUUAUCAAUCUUGGCAUAUAUAAAAUAUCUGCAGAAGAGAGUAAUCUUUUCACAACUUUGGGUUCCUACUUCUGUAAUAGGUAUGUAUGUGUAUACAUAAAUAUAUAUGUAUAUGUUAAAUUAAUACUCUGACCCUGUGGUUUUACAUAUCAGUCCAGCCCUGGGAGAUAUAUUCCUCCCUCUGUUUAUUCAUUUGUCAAGUAUGUACUAAGCGCCUUGAUGAGCAGUUGACUCAAAGCCUAGCCUUGGACCACACACAAAAUCUGCUGAGGUAAUGGAUGUGAUUGCCCUGUGAGGUUUGCUAAGAGUCAUGCUGCUGGCGUUUCCGUAACAUUUCAGGCUUAGCCUCCCUGGGUGGAGGCACCUGGGAAGUUUCUUCUGCUAUUUAACUUUCUACAGUAAUCACAUUUAUUUUUUAUAAUAGGUUAGUAAUUAUUUCCCAUUUCUCAAAGUGCAAGUAAUGUUACUUUUUGUGAAAGUGUCCUUAACUAAGAAUUGAUUUGAUCUUCACUUCUGCCUUCCUGGACUGUCAAGAAAAAAAAACUCGAAACCUUAUGUAGUCCACAGUGUCAUUGGAGAGGGUUCAGGAGAUGAGGGAAGGGGUUUGGCAGUCUGACUUCCAAACCCAAGAAUUAAAGAUCCCUGUUUGUUAUCACCGUCACCACCAUAUAAUGCCACUGUCCCUCUGACUUUUCAUUGUCUCUCGGCUGACUGCCAAGGCUUGUGAGGUCCCACGCAGGAGGAUGGGUUUCCAUUAAGAACAUUCUCAUUCCUCUUAUUUAGGAAGCCAAGUCUGGGACACCAAGUGCCCAGUCCUUGAAGAACCCACCCACUCACUAGCCAUUUAGUCCGAAGUCUGUUAGACUGGAUGGAAAAGAAGUUGUAAUCUCCUUUGCUCAUCUUAAUGCUAAGGAGCUACUUUUCUUUGAAAUCCUUAAAAACCAAAUUUCCCCACCUACCACCCUUGGGAAAGAAAUCCAAAUUCUCUUAAGGGAUCUAGAAGCCUCAAAGACUCAGGGAAAUUUCUAUAUUCAAACAUGAUCUAUU